rnacentral:rRNA from 1 species
AUUGAACGCUGGCGGCAGGCCUAACACAUGCAAGUCGAACGGUAGCACAGAGAGCUUGCUCUCGGGUGACGAGUGGCGGACGGGUGAGUAAUGUCUGGGAAACUGCCCGAUGGAGGGGGAUAACUACUGGAAACGGUAGCUAAUACCGCAUAACGUCGCAAGACCAAAGUGGGGGACCUUCGGGCCUCACACCAUCGGAUGUGCCCAGAUGGGAUUAGCUAGUAGGUGGGGUAAUGGCUCACCUAGGCGACGAUCCCUAGCUGGUCUGAGAGGAUGAACAGCCACACUGGAGAUGAGACACGGUACAGCCUCCUACGGGAGGCAGCAGUGGGGAAUAAUGCACAAUGGGCGCAAGCCUGAUGCAGCCAUGCCGCGUGUAUGAAGAAGGCCUUCGGGUUGUAAAGUACUUUCAGCGGGGAGGAAGGCGGUGAAGUUAAUAACUUCACCGAUUGACGUUACCCGCAGAAGAGGCACCGGCUAACUCCGUGCCAGCCGCCGCGGUAA